AGGAAAAACGCAGAGUGGCCGCAGCAUUAGAGGAUAUCCACACAAGACCUAAACUUCCGCCGGUUUCAAGUGAAAAGAAAAGAUCGCUACGUUGGUGGCGCUGCCGUUGCUGUUGCUGCUCUCGUUCUACUGCCGCCGACUCCAUCACCACAACUCCUCCCUGCUGCCAUUACCGGACAAGAGUUAUUGCCAAUGGCAGAUUUGAUAACAAAUCCUGAGGUGGCUGAUAUUAAAGGUAAUUUCCGUGCUGUUUUUUCCAAUAUAUAAGGUCAAAUAUAUAACAGAUUUUUGCCAUGUUGAUCGCUGCAUUUUCUUGCCCUUUUGUUGUGUCGCUUGGCUUGAGCCUUCUACCAUGUUUGCAUAUGAUUUAAGGUGAUGUUGAGGCGAUGAGUUGUGUUUAAGUUUUGGGCCACAUGAUCUUGUUUCAGUCCAAAUUUGUGAUUUUUGUUAGUGAGGUAUUCGGUUGAUAAUGGAACCCAAUAGUUGCAGAAAUUUUUCCAGAUUUUCGCAUAUUCUCUCUCUGAUUUUUAUGUUUAAACAUAAGACUCUGUGGUCAAAAAUAGAAAGAUUACUGGAUGAUCUUGUUGUUCUGAUUCAAGUUUGUCGGUUUGGCCAUUUAGUUAUAUUUAGACUGCAUUCAAGAACUCACCAGAAAAUUGAAAUCAACAUUCAAAUUAAAGAAGCAAUAAAAGAAUGCAUUUCCUGUCUUUC
rnacentral:lncRNA from 1 species